AAGUCGAGCGGAUGACGGGAGCUUGCUCCUUGAUUCAGCGGCGGACGGGUGAGUAAUGCCUAGGAAUCUGCCUGGUAGUGGGGGACAACGUUUCGAAAGGAACGCUAAUACCGCAUACGUCCUACGGGAGAAAGCAGGGGACCUUCGGGCCUUGCGCUAUCAGAUGAGCCUAGGUCGGAUUAGCUAGUUGGUGGGGUAAUGGCUCACCAAGGCGACGAUCCGUAACUGGUCUGAGAGGAUGAUCAGUCACACUGGAACUGAGACACGGUCCAGACUCCUACGGGAGGCAGCAGUGGGGAAUAUUGGACAAUGGGCGAAAGCCUGAUCCAGCCAUGC
rnacentral:rRNA from 1 species